UGCAAGCUGCUCUGACACUUGGGCCA
rnacentral:piRNA from 1 species